CCCUGUGACAUACCCGAACGUUGCCUCGGCGGGACCGCCCCGGCGCCCACAGCGGCCCGGAACCAGGCGCCCGCCGGAGGACCCAAACUCUUGCUUUAAACAGUGGCAUACUCUCUGAGUCUCACAAACAAAAAAUAAAUCAAAACUUUCAACAACGGAUCUCUUGGCUCUGGCAUCGAUGAAGAACGCAGCGAAAUGCGAUAAGUAAUGUGAAUUGCAGAAUUCAGUGAAUCAUCGAAUCUUUGAACGCACAUUGCGCCCGCCAGCAUUCUGGCGGGCAUGCCUGUCCGAGCGUCAUUUCAACCCUCAGGGAGCCCCCUCGCGGGGGGGAUGGCGGGUUGGGGGCCGGCCGCCCAGCGCGCGCCGCCCCCGAAAUGCAGUGGCGACCUCGCCGCAGCCUCCCCUGCGUAGUAGCACAACCUCGCACCGGAGCGCGGAGACGGUCACGCCGUAAAACGCCCAACUUUCAAGAGUUGACCUCGGAUCAGGUAGGAAUACCCGCUGAACUUAAGCAUAU
rnacentral:rRNA from 1 species